AAACAUUCACCUGGGAUUUGUACCUCCGUACUAAACCUUCCACGAGCUAUAUGGGUUCAAUUUCCCCUAUUACAAGAGCCCCAGCAUGUAUAGCCGCAUGACUAAGGAAGUAUCUCAUGGGAUUACUAGUACAUCCCCUAAUAGUGUAACAUCAUGAACACGAUUAACAAAGACCAAUCCUUAUAUCGGAAUAUAUGAAUUUCUAGUUUUGGUCCCCCUAGGACCACGACCUUUUAU
rnacentral:lncRNA from 1 species